GACGAACGCUGGCGGCGUGCUUAACACAUGCAAGUCGAGCGAGGCCCUCCUUCGGGAGGUGUCCUAGCGGCGAACGGGUGAGUAACACGUGGGCAACCUGCCCCCGGCUCUGGGAUAACCCCAAGAAAUUGGGGCUAAUACCGGAUAUGACCGCUGACCGCAUGGUCUGGUGGUGGAAAGAUUUAUCGGCUGGGGAUGGGCCCGCGGCCUAUCAGCUUGUUGGUGGGGUAGUGGCCUACCAAGGCGACGACGGGUAGCCGGCCUGAGAGGGUGACCGGCCACACUGGGACUGAGACACGGCCCAGACUCCUACGGGAGGCAGCAGUGGGGAAUAUUGCGCAAUGGGCGAAAGCCUGACGCAGCGACGCCGCGUGGGGGAUGACGGCCUUCGGGUUGUAAACCUCUUUCAGCAGGGACGAAGCGCAAGUGACGGUACCUGCAGAAGAAGCACCGGCCAACUACGUGCCAGCCGCCGCGGUAA
rnacentral:rRNA from 1 species